rnacentral:rRNA from 1 species
UGGGGGAUAUUGCACAAUGGGGGGAACCCUGAUGCAGCGACGCCGCGUGGGUGAAGAAGCGCCUCGGCGCGUAAAGCCCUGUCAGCAGGGAAGAAAAUGACGGUACCUGACUAAGAAGCCCCGGCUAACUACGUGCC